AGCAUCUUGGCGCAGUGGAAGCGUAAGUUACUCCGGUUACAUUCGAAUAUCUGCAAUAAAACUAACAAUCAUUCAGGCGCCGGGCUCAUAACCCGGAGGUCGUCCGAUCGAAACGGACAGAUGCUA